rnacentral:misc_RNA from 1 species
UACGGAGGAUGCAAGCGUUAUCCGGAAUUAUUGGGCGUAAAGCGUCCGCAGGUGGUCGUUCAAGUCGGCUGUUAAAGAUUGAAGCUUAACUUCAAAAAGGCAGUGGAAACUGAACAACUAGAGGUCAGUAGGGGUAGCAGGAAUUCCCAGUGUAGCGGUGAAAUGCGUAGAGAUUGGGAAGAACAUCGGUGGCGAAAGCGUGCUACUGGGCUGAAUCUGACACUGAGGGACGAAAGCUAGGGGAGCAAAAGGG